rnacentral:misc_RNA from 1 species
GUGGCACAUAAUUGUCUGAUAUAAUAACUGGAACACACUCAUACAUAAUAGCCUCCACGAUUCGUGGACUAUUGACUUCAUAACCUCUGGCACAAAUACAGUACUUGCUGCUNNNNNNNUGUGCUGGGCAUAGCUCAUUUUGCCUCGAACCUUGGGCAUCCGACCAAAUAUUUUCAUGUCUGGAUCUUUGUUUGCCCAGUGCUUCAACAGCAUUGGUCG